ACAAAAUGCCAGUAACAAGUUGCCAAAUAAAGUUAAUUUGUAUUUAUUUAUUUUUUUCAGUUUUUAUUAUAAAGACAUGUCAGGAUACUUGAAAAUAACUGUCACCUGAUUAUAAUAUAAUGAAAUAGAGAAACAAAUGUCUUUCAAAUCUACAUUAAUAUUAUCUAUUUGCCUAGGAGUAAGCAAUAAUUGCUUGGCCACAAAGAUGGCAAAUUACUUCAGACAAAUUAAAGUGGAAUUGUCACUGUGUCACUGUCACUAUGAAUUGUAUGUGCAGUUUAACUAGUAAAGUCUUUUUCUGUACUAAUGAAGAAAGAUAUUUGUAACAUAAUUUUUUUUUAAAGUUACUCUUGCUUUUUUAUACAUGAUUAAUAACCCAGAUAAAAACCAGUAUGUGUUUUCUUGAUAUAUCAAUCCUACUUCAAUCAUAAAUCAUUUUCAGAAAUGUAUGAUGUAUUUCAAACUCCCAGGAAUGUGUGGAAGCAUGGAAAAUUAGUCAUUUGGCUGAAAUUCAGAUACCCUUUAGUCACAUUUGACUGAAUAACAUGAAGUUUAGUUAUCACUAAAGUGAUAUUCCAAAGUGAAUUCAAAGCAAAUUUCUAAUUUAUAGGAACACUCCAGGCAGCUAAACAAGUUAAGCUUAAUUUAAAGUUCAGAAGCUCAAAUACAUUUGGUUAGUUUCUUUUCUCUCAGUUCUGUGUAGUUUUCCUGCAGUGCUGUAAAAUGUUUUGCUGUUUUCUGCAGUGUAACACAGCCUCCUUUGCCACCUCCCUCUCAAUUUAAACAUAUUCAUGAUUCCCAGUUUCUGAAAGAAGCGUACCUUUUUCAGCCAAGAAAAUAGAGACGUCUUCUGUAGUGUAAGGAAUGCUCACAGCAUAGACUGUACAAGAGAGAAAAGGCUAGAGUAGAGCUUUGAAUUCACUUUGAAUUCUCGCUUUAGUGCAUAACCCUUACAGUAACAUUUAUAUUACAAAAAUUAAUAACUCAUUAUUUAAUGAAUUCAAAACUACACACAUCUCAGUACAUAGUAGUAUAGGCAGGGAAAAAGAAUAAAGUCUAUCAAAUUCAGCUUCUCAAAACUGCUUGCAAAUUAUUUCUUAC